AGUGAACGCUGGCGGUAGGCCUAACACAUGCAAGUCGAACGGCAGCACAGAGGAGCUUGCUCCUUGGGUGGCGAGUGGCGGACGGGUGAGGAAUACAUCGGAAUCUACUCUGUCGUGGGGGAUAACGUAGGGAAACUUACGCUAAUACCGCAUACGACCUACGGGUGAAAGCAGGGGAUCUUCGGACCUUGCGCGAGUGAAUGAGCCGAUGUCGGAUUAGCUAGUUGGCGGGUAAAGGCCCACCAAGGCGACGAUCCGUAGCUGGUCUGAGAGGAUGAUCAGCCACACUGGAACUGAGACACGGUCCAGACUCCUACGGGAGGCAGCAGUGGGGAAUAUUGGACAAUGGGCGCAAGCCUGAUCCAGCCAUACCGCGUGGGUGAAGAAGGCCUUCGGGUUGUAAAGCCCUUUUGUUGGGAAAGAAAUCCAUCUGGUUAAUACCCGGGUGGGAUGACGGUACCCAAAGAAUAAGCACCGGCUAACUUCGUGCCAGCCGCCGCGGUAA
rnacentral:rRNA from 1 species